CCUCCAGGGCAAGAUUUGAGGAACCCUGCUCUAUAUGCUCAAUAUAUAUACUGUAACUGCAAACUGAAUGCAUCACACUUAGCCGUCGUUGUUUCUGGUCAAAAUAUUCUGUUGUGCAAAACAUCAAGCAAUAUUUCAUAGUUACAUUUGCACUUAUAGUCAGUCAGGUCAGUAUCUUCUCUCUUUAGAACAAACUUCAGUAAACUCGUCUGCAACCUGGUGUCAUUUGAUGUUAACCUGUUACUGUAAUGUGCACAUCUAUCUAUCUAUCUAUCUCAGCUGUAAGCUGCUUGCUGUAUUGCACAAAGCUGGCUCAUGUUGUCAGAGAUUAGCAUUCUAGCUAACAUAGCACUAAGGCAGUUAAUCUUCAUCUCUGCGUAAACUGUAUGAGGUCAAAUAUUGUUAAUUGUUGUUUAUUUCAAAAGAACA